rnacentral:rRNA from 1 species
GACGAACGCUGGCGGCGUGCCUAAUACAUGCAAGUAGAACGCAGUUGCGAACGGGUGAGUAACGCGUAUGUAACUGCCUCAUAGCGGGGGAUAACUAUUGGAAACGAUAGCUAAUACCGCAUACUGUGAGCUGGACCUGCGUUGUAUUAGCUAGUUGGUGAGGUAAAGGCUCACCAAGGCGCCGAUACAUAGCCGAGCUGAGAGGGUGGUCGGGCACACCGGGAAUGAGAAACGGGCCAGACCUCUACGGGAGGCAGCAGUAGGGAAACUUCGGAAAUGGACGGAAGUCUUACCGAGCAAAGGCGGGGGAGUGAAGAAGGGUUUCGGAUCGUAAAGCUCUGUUGUUAGAGAAGCGGUAACUAAACAGAAAGGGACGGCUAACUACGUGCCAGCAGCCGCGGUAAUAC